UUAAUUUAUGAAAAAGCUUUCAAAAGAUUCUAGGAUAUUGAAGUCAUCAACCUGAGGUUAACAUGAGUCCAGAUUGUAUUACAAGAGGAUACAACCUGCCUAGGAUGUCACUUUUCUUAAAUAGUUGCCAUCUAUUGAUAUGUAUAUGUAUAUUAAUUUCCAUUCAAUGUUGACACGUGCAAAUAAUGACCGAGAAGGCGAUCUUUGAACACAGGACAUACGAUACAGAAAAUAUCAUCUGGGAAUUUUGUCUGGGUGAAGAUGUGUUUUUUUGUGAACAAGAAAAAACAGAAACAGAAGAAGAAGAUGAAGAAGAAGAAAUAUUGAGAAUCGCACGAAGGGUGAAUAUGUUCACUAGUUGAGAGAUAUUUGAUGAAAUUUAUCCGCUUAGAAUAUAUUCAUUUUAAUGGAGAAACUGAAGAGGUGGGGCGGGGGGGACCGAAGAAGAAUCGAAUAGCUGCAGAUAUAUUUGAGCUAUAAAUUAGGAGCAGCCAAGAACAGGGGAGGGAGUUGGUGAUGCAUCCGACCCUUUUAGAGAGAGAAAGGAAAAUCAUGAAUUUAAGUAAUUAUUUAGAAGAGUUGGUAUUUGAAGUAAUUAUGGUACGUUAAUGUAUGUUAUUAUGCAAUUUAUCCUUUUUAGUAAUUAAUUACCUUUUUUAU